CCAUAUCAUGUUGAAACACCAGUUCUUGUCCAAUCACUGAAGUUAAGCAACAUCAAGCCUGGUCAGUACCUAGAUGGGUGACCACUUGAGAAUAACAGGUGCUAUA